UACAUUGUGGUAUCACUGGCAUGGUUUAUUGAUUUCUGUGCCUUCCGUCUCCAGGUACAAAGCUGUUGUGUAGGAGCAAUCACUCCUCAGCCAGGCACAGCGCAGGCAGGGCUCUGCUUUCGCUCUUCCUGAGAUAAAUUGACCUGAAUGAGACCUGGCAGGUGGAGCUGAGGCUUGCAGACUGGCUCCUGGCUUUCUCUGAAGCACCUUUCCUCUCAGACCACACAGAAACAGAGCCCUCCAAGUCACUUUGGACCAGGCUACUUGUCUGGGGUUUUAAACCUUUCAUCCUAACCAGCAUAAGAAAGGUUUUUUGAAUAACUGUAUUAACAGUAGAUGUGACAGACAGUAGAUGGAGAAAGCUCUCUUCAUACUUCCUCCGGUCACUGGGACUUGUCUCACCUUUGUCUUUCAGAUUUGUUUAUUCAUUGCCGAAACUGAGGCACCCACAGAUCUCUGCAGUCCCCAGGCUGCAGGCACAGGAAGCUGUAUAUCUUCAGCAUUUAACAGCAUCUUACAUUAAAACCGGGAUAACUGACCUGCAUUUUGCAACUCGUAGCCCUGUCCCCAGGCUUCCUUUGUGCUGCAUGCAGUGAUUCUGCUACGCCAAGCCCUGCAGUGUCACAAUGUAGGAGUCUGAAACUGCUUUGCAGGGCAACGUCAUUUGAUUUACUUGAGCUGUAGUUUGUCUUCUGCUGUAACCAGAAUUGCCCAGUUUAAAAAAAAUCCUUUUUGAAUAACUUAUAAUGAGCAGGGGGCUGAGUCUGUUCUUCCUGCAAGCAGGACAUCCCAUCUUUGGGAGGCGUGGCUCAGACUGCUGGCUUUGGAAGUUUUCAGAGACCUGAAUGCCGAACCAAGAGCCUUCUGAUUUUUGUCAAGGAAACCUGGCAGCAUGAGUUGUGUUCUAGCAGACCAGCAUUAGAGGAGACCACUGUGAGGGAUGGCUGCUGUACACAGGCUGUAAGCGUGCUUUUGAGUAAAUAGGAGCCUUCAGCAUCCCCACUGCCUGGGACAAAAAUUUGCAGCUGGGACCUGUUCUGUAUUCAUGAGGAAAGGGAACUGAUGCCUGGAUAAAUCAAACUGCAUCAAUAAAUUAAGAGGCAGUAGGACACAGAAUGUGCGUUAUUUGUUGUUGUGUGUUUAUUGCACAGUGAGACUAGAGCUGGUUCUCUGAAUUUUGGGGCAGGUUUAGAGAUGCAUCAGGCCACGUGGAAGCGACAAGCUGGGUUGCUAGUUACAUGGACAUCAGUCAAUAAAUCAUUUAUUCAGUUUUGUCUGUAUCAAAUACAGUGUUUCAAGGUGAUGCUGAUUGCAGCAAGAGAAACCGGGCUUCCUGCUCAUUAAGUGGCUGGUUCUUGCCGCAUGGUCCCUUCGGUGCUGUGCCCGCAAGGGACGGGGCUGGUGCAGUCCAGCGACUGUGGGCUGCUGAAGAGUUCCCUGCCUGCCUUCAGCCACAGCUUGGUGGCACUGGGUGCUGGCGUGGUAAAGACAUUGCGUUAUCCUGAGAGAAAGCAGACAGACUUGGGUGCUCGUUUGUGGUUCCUUUUGGUUGUUUGGUGGGGAGUAGGUGGAGCAGUACUGUGUGCAUGGGGCCACGACGAGCAGCCUUCUGUUCUAAGCAAGGCUCUGUGCAGCCGCCUCGGCAGAUUCAGGUUAGCUACAGCAGGACAGAAAACAUCAGUUGGUGACCUCAGGCAGUUUCACAGGGAGGAAAGAUGGCGUGCUAGCCUCCCUUAUUGAUCUGGAACCAAAUCGUACUGCUCCUCCCGUGUGCCACUCUCCUGUCUACCCCUUGUUUCAUUCCUCUGAAGCCACAGCUAUCCGCCAGCUCCUGGAGCGGGCCCAGUGCAUUUCUUUAGCUGGCACUGAACAGCACUUGUCAGGCUACGGCUGAAGAGCUGUCGGCCUUCCUGGCACCUCUGCGAUGCUAAUCCUUAGGUAGCUUUCUGAAUGACCUCUCAAUAAGCCAGCCGGCACUAAGCAUGUACAGAGGCACGGUAUGAUGCCAAUACAUAGGGUAAAGCGGGCCUCUGUUUCAGCCAAGUGUUAAUGGUGUUUUCUUAACUAAGGCCGGUUCUUUAUGGCUUUUACUUGCUAAAUAUUUGAUGCAGCUCUGCAUUUUAAAAGGAAACAUGGUUUAGUCAGUUUUGGCACAGGGGUCCCUCAACAGCUCGUGUGCACAACUGACUGGUUUGCCUCACAACAGCAGACUCAGGUGGCUGCCCGCUGUGUUGUUGAGAACAGGAGUCACACACCGAGUCUUACUCCCAUUGCCAUACAUGCUAAGCCGUGGGUUUCCACAAUUCUCAUGUUUGAGAGCGCUCUCAACUAUAGUCAGCUCACAGUGGUUUUAAAACCUUCCUCGAGGUUGAGCUCCUCUGAAUUUGAUUAAUGAGCUCUGCACUUAGACUUGAAAAGCU